rnacentral:rRNA from 1 species
UAGGGAAUAUUGGACAAUGGGUGCAAGCCUGAUCCAGCCAUGCCGCGUGCAGGAAGAAAGCCUUCUGGGUUGUAAACUGCUUUUCUCUGGGGAUAAAAUACCCGUGCGCGGGAAAUUGAAGGUACCAGAGGAAUAAGCCACGGCUAACUACGUGCCAGCAGCCGCGGUAAUACGUAGGUGGCAAGCGUUGUCCGGAUUUAUUGGGUUUAAAGGGUGCGUAGGCGGUUUUCUAAGUCAGCAGUGAAAUACGGCAGCUCAACUGUCGAGGUGCUGUUGAUACUGGGGAACUUGAGUACUGAUGAGGUAGGCGGAAUGGACGGUGUAGCGGUGAAAUGCUUAGAGAUCGUCCAGAACACCGAUAGCGAAGGCAGCUUACUAAGGAGUAACUGACGCUGAGGCACGAAAGUGUGGGGAUCAAACAG